UACGUAGGGUGCAAGCGUUGUCCGGAAUCAUUGGGCGUAAAGCGCGCGUAGGUGGUCAUGUAAGUCCGCUGUGAAAGUCAAAGGCUCAACCUUUGAAAGCCGGUGGAUACUGCACGACUAGAGUACGGAAGAGGCGAGUGGAAUUCCUGGUGUAGCGGUGGAAUGCGCAGAUAUCAGGAGGAACACCAAUAGCGAAGGCAGCUCGCUGGGACGUUACUGACACUGAGGCGCGAAAGCGUGGGGAGCGAACAGG
rnacentral:rRNA from 1 species